UACGGAGGGGACUAGCGUUGUUCGGAAUUACUGGGCGUAAAGCGCACGUAGGCGGAUUUGUAAGUCAGGGGUGAAAUCCCGGGGCUCAACCCCGGAACUGCCUUUGAUACUGCAAAUCUCGAGUCCGGAAGAGGUGAGUGGAAUUCCUAGUGUAGAGGUGAAAUUCGUAGAUAUUAGGAAGAACACCAGUGGCGAAGGCGGCGACCUGGGCCAAUACUGACGCUGAGGUGCGAAAGCGUGGGGAGCAAACAGG
rnacentral:rRNA from 1 species